UCCUUAGGGUGGUUGGUUAGAGAUCUGAGUCAUGCCUUCAGAUCUCAAACCAAGGCCAGGGAGGAAUAGAUCUAAAAGCCAUGCUUACCGUGGAGCACAUUCUAAGAUAAUAUCUGCUGAUACUGGUAACAGAGGCCAGACUCCGAGUUCUGGCCAUGGAAACAACAUGGCCGGUGCCUCUCUGUUUGGCUUCUGGACUGCAAUAAGCCAGUGUCUACAAAAUUUGUGGGCACGAAGGCACAUAGGCCUGCUUCUGCUUUUACUCUGGAUUCUGGUGAUCUUGUGCUAUCUUGUGAACCCUGACUCUCUGCCUCCAAGCACGAAAUUGUCCUGGCUCGGUGACACUGCAGAACUUGGACCCCAGUGGGACAGUAUGUUGGACUUUUUCUUUCCAACAAGGACCAACAUAGCCAAAGCAUGCAUCAUCAGGGACAAUAAGGAGUUGGUGGCAUGUAAUAACCAGCCAUAUAUCAGCAAAACUGAAUGUUUAAGUUCCAAGUGCUGUUUUUCAUCAUCUGGGACUGAAAUCAAAUGCCAUGCCCCACUAAGGGAUAAGCCUACACAGAUGCUCCGGCUGUUUGGAUGUGUUAUGAUCAGCAUGGUAAUCCUGGGAUUUCUGCCUGUGUACUGCUGUUCCCUUUGCCGGAGGAGGAAGAAAAUGAACAGGAUAUUGAAGGUUUUGAAGAAACAGAAAGCAAAACUGAAGAAGGAGCCGAAAGGAAGGAUGGUGUCAGAAGAGAGAGCUUUAAUUUCUGGUUGAGAAUGCAGAUGCCAGAAGAGACUUCCUUAGUCAUCUAAAUCCAGUUUAGAAAGUCUAUUUUUCGUUGUACUUUCCAAUCAAAAUAAAGU
rnacentral:lncRNA from 1 species